rnacentral:rRNA from 1 species
AAUGAACGCUGGCGGCGUGCCUAACACAUGCAAGUCGAGCGAGAAAGUCCCCUUCGGGGGCGAGUAAAGCGGCGCACGGGUGAGUAACGCGUGGGUAACCUGCCCUUGAGUGGGGGAUAACCAGCCGAAAGGCUGACUAAUCCCGCAUACGACCGGCAGACACAAGUCUGUCGGGGAAAGAUGGCCUCUGCUUGCAAGCUAUCGCUCUUGGAUGGGCCCGCGUUGGAUUAGCUAGUUGGUGGGUAACGGCCUACCAAGGCUGCGAUCCAUAGCUGGUUUGAGAGGACGACCAGCCACACUGGAACUGAGACACGGUCCAGACUCCUACGGGAGCAGCAGUGAGGAAUAUUGCGCAAUGGGGAACUCUGAUGCAGCGACGCCGCGUGAGUGAAGAAGGUCUUCGGGAUCGUAAAACUCUGUCCUUGGUGAAGAAAAGGACGGUAGCCAAGGAGGAAGCCCCGGGCUAACUACGUGCCAGCAGCCGCGGUAAUCU